rnacentral:rRNA from 1 species
GUGAACGCUUGCGGUAGGCCUAACACAUGCAAGUCGAACGGCAGCACAGUAAGAGCUUGCUCUUACGGGUGGCGAGUGGCGGACGGGUGAGGAAUACAUCGGAAUCUACUUUUUCGUGGGGGAUAACGUAGGGAAACUUACGCUAAUACCGCAUACGACCUACGGGUGAAAGCAGGGGAUCUUCGUACCUUGCGCGAUUGAAUGAGCCGAUGUCGGAUUAGCUAGUUGGCGGGGUAAAGGCCCACCAAGGCGACGAUCCGUAGCUGGUCUGAGAGGAUGAUCAGCCACACUGGAACUGAGACACGGUCCAGACUCCUACGGGAGGCAGCAGUGGGGAAUAUUGGACAAUGGGCGCAAGCCUGAUACAGCCAUACCGCGUGGGUGAAGAAGGCCUUCGGGUUGUAAAGCCCUUUUGUUGGGAAAGAAAAGCAGCAGGUUAAUACCCCGCUGUUCUGACGGUACCCAAAGAAUAAGCACCGGCUAACUUCGUG